GAAAUAUAAAAAAUAUACUUCAAACGGAACUGAAGAAAAGGUGGGGGUCCACCACCACUCCGGAGGCUAAAGGGAUGGCACUCAGUCAAAACAGUGGGAGACCUAUUGCUAAAGGCAUCUCUGGAGGAACCUCAUCUGACCCAACCACCCCAAGGGUGGGCCUACAUAAGAGCUACUGAUGGUGUAAUCUGUCUGGUGGGGCCUUCUGCCAUAACAGACCUCCAUGCAGUUGAGAAUGAUGAAGACACCUUGUUAGCUGCCACAGAGAGGGAAGCUACAGAGAGGCCUAUUGAGCAAUGCUGGAAAAUACAAUGAGGAAGAGGGUCCAUCCACCUCCACAACUCCUCCUCAACUUACCUCAUUCCCUGUGAAACAGCUAUACUUAGAGAAACACAUUUAAAAAUGUAAUUUAGAAAUUGACCACAAGGCUGCAGAUGCAAGAACAUAGAAAUGCA
ensembl:lncRNA